CUCUUGGGAUUCUGGUCCUGCUUGGCUUUUUAAGCUGCCCACCCAGGGGUACUGGGUACCCCCUGCUAUUUGGAAGUGGAUUAAGCCUUCCUGAAAGUGAGUAAGUUUAAUAGAUUGUGGGAUGCCUUUGAAGCUGCCUCAUCCAGAACACCCUGCAUCCCAGGUCCUUUUGCUGUACUUUCACCAACUGAUCAUUUUUGCCAAAGCAUCUCAAGGAUAUGCUAAAUCCUGUUCUGGAAUUGAGGUAGUGUUCGGUGCAGUGAUCAGGAUCAAACAUUCCCUGGCUAAUAAUGUAAGAGGUAGCAACCAUGAAUCUUGGUAGCAGGUGAAGGAAAAAAGGGGACCAUUGUGAGGACUGAAACAGCCCUUAAUUCCUGCGCUGCCUGCAGAAGCAACCAGAUCUUGGCAAAGAAAGUGGGAGGUCACCUCUAACUCCAGCACUUCUUUGGGAAGCUAUGCUUUGUAUGGUGUAAAAUAUAAAAGCUGGAUGGAACAGACUGCUCAGAUAAGCACCUUCAAACCAGCAUUGGCGCAUGAAUAAUGAGCAGGGUGGUUUCUAUUCUGCCUGUCCAGUUUCAUCUAUGUGGAAUAGACACACUCCAUUACAACUGAGCAUACAGUCCUGUCUAGCUGCACCAGGCUGCCCAUUGACUCGUCAACUUGAUGUUGCUGUAAAGCAUUUUGAAAUGCAAAAUUUCCUUUGUUUGUUUCACUGUAGUUGCAUGUGCAUCAGGAUUGCAAAAGACCCCUUUUUCCUCUGAAGAAAGAGAACAAGACUAAAUUCUCUGAAAGGCUUACCUCAUUAACUUAAUGGAGUGACACUGGCGACGGUGUUUUUUAUUUCAAAGGGAGCAACAAUUCAGGAGACUUCUAUGGGACCUCACUAUAAUUACAUCAAUACAGAAAUUUCUGAAUGUUCUUCAGACUGCAUGAUGAUGCUGCAAAAGGCUGAAAGCUAAAUGUCAGCUGAUAGACAAAAUAAAUGUAUUUCUGCAGUCACUUGGGUCUAAUUUGUCUGCCCCCUACAAUCCCCUCCAUUUGUAUUAUUUAUAGGCUGUGGAGCACCGGAGUUGCCUGGAGGUUCCAUCAGCCACUUGUCCUGCCCGCCUGGGGAUUCACCUUGGACAGAUGACUGCGUGCUAUCAGCCUGCUGCUGGCAUUCAGAUUUGUAUUUUUUUUUUCUACAGCCAUCAAAAAGAAUAAUGGCACAACUGAAGAGAGGAAUGUUUUGUAAUGGUGUGACAUGGAAACAGAGCUUUAUAAGGGCUCUGCUAUUUUUUUCUACAUGCAUGCUUUGA